CCUACGGGAGGCAGCAGUGAGGAAUAUUGGUCAAUGGGCGCGAGCCUGAACCAGCCAAGUCGCGUGAGGGAAGACGGUCCUAUGGAUUGUAAACCUCUUUUGUCGGGGAGCAAAAGACGCCACGCGUGGCGUUCCGAGAGUACCCGAAGAAAAAGCAUCGGCUAACUCCGUGCCAGCAGCCGCGGUAAUACGGAGGAUGCGAGCGUUAUCCGGAUUUAUUGGGUUUAAAGGGUGCGCAGGCGGAAGAUCAAGUCAGAGGUAAAAUUGAGGGGCUCAACCUCUUCGAGCCGUUGAAACUGGUUGUCUUGAGUGAGGGAGAGGUAUGCGGAAUGCGUGGUGUAGCGGUGAAAUGCAUAGAUAUCACGCAGAACACCGAUUGCGAAGGCAGCAUACCGGCGCUCAACUGACGCUCAUGCACGAAAGUGUGGGUAUCGAACAGGAUUAGAUACCCUAGUAGUC
rnacentral:rRNA from 1 species